rnacentral:rRNA from 1 species
UACGUAGGGUGCAAGCGUUGUCCGGAAUUAUUGGGCGUAAAGAGCUCGUAGGCGGUUUGUCGCGUCGAAUGUGAAAACCCGGGGCUCAACCCCGGGCCUGCAUUCGAUACGGGCAGACUAGAGUUCGGUAGGGGAGUCUGGAAUUCCUGGUGUAGCGGUGAAAUGCGCAGAUAUCAGGAGGAACACCGGUGGCGAAGGCGGGACUCUGGGCCGAUACUGACGCUGAGGAGCGAAAGCGUGGGGAGCAAAC